GGGCUGUAACUGACGCUGAGGAGCGAAAGCAUGGGGAGCGAACAGGAUUAGAUACCCUGGUAGUCCAUGCCGUAAACGUUGGGCACUAGGUGUGGGGGACAUUCCACGUUUUCCGCGCCGUAGCUAACGCAUUAAGUGCCCCGCCUGGGGAGUACGGCCGCAAGGCUAAAACUCAAAGGAAUUGACGGGGGCCCGCACAAGCGGCGGAGCAUGCGGAUUAAUUCGAUGCAACGCGAAGAACCUUACCAAGGCUUGACAUGGGCCGGACCGGGCUGGAAACAGUCCUUCCCUUCGGGGCCGGUUCACAGGUGGUGCAUGGUUGUCGUCAGCUCGUGUCGUGAGAUGUUGGGUUAAGUCCCGCAACGAGCGCAACCCUCGUUCCAUGUUGCCAGCGCGUAAUGGCGGGGACUCAUGGGAGACUGCCGGGGUCAACUCGGAGGAAGGUGGGGACGACGUCAAAUCAUCAUGCCCCUUAUGUCUUGGGCUUCACGCAUGCUACAAUGGCCGGUACAAUGGGUUGCGAUACUGUGAGGUGGAGCUAAUCCCAAAAAGCCGGUCUCAGUUCGGAUUGGGGUCUGCAACUCGACCCCAUGAAGUCGGAGUCGCUAGUAAUCGCAGAUCAGCAACGCUGCGGUGAAUACGUUCCCGGGCCUUGUACACACCGCCCGUCAAGUCACGAAAGUUGGUAACACCCGAAGCCGGUGGCCUAACCCCUUGUGGGAGGGAGCCGUCGAAGGUGGGACCG
rnacentral:rRNA from 1 species